rnacentral:rRNA from 1 species
ACGGGAGGCAGCAGUGAGGAAUAUUGGUCAAUGGAGGCAACUCUGAACCAGCCAUCUCGCGUGAAGGAAUACGGCCCUACGGGUCUUAAACUUCUUUUAUAGGGGGAUAAAGUGAGAUACGCGUAUCUUAUUGUAGGUACCCUAUGAAUAAGCAUCGGCUAACUCCGUGCCAGCAGCCGCGGUAAUACGGAGGAUGCGAGCGUUAUCCGGAUUUAUUGGGUUUAAAGGGUGCGCAGGCGGCACGUUAAGUCAGCGGUGAAAUGUCGGGGCUCAACCCGGGCACUGCCGUUGAAACUGGCGAGCUUGAGUACGGAUGAAGUCGGCGGAAUGUGAUGUGUAGCGGUGAAAUGCUUAGAUAUGUCACAGAACACCGAUCGAGAAGUCAGGUCACGAGCUCGCAACUGACGCUCAGGCACGAAAGCGUGGGGAUCAAACAGGAUUAGAUACCCUGGUA